rnacentral:lncRNA from 10 species
AGAACCCAGAAUGUGAUUCGCAGGACCUGUCGCAUAAUUUCACAACCAAGCAUUCUUGCAUUCUUCUUUGUACCUGAAUCGUAGAAAGUUCUGGAAAAAGCUAGGAGCCUCCUCAUGACCUCUCCUGCCAGAAGCAAUGAUCCCGGAGAACUGAUACUUGCGGAGUGGGGAGUUCAAAAAAGUCAGUGACCAAAACCCCCUCAUGCCAUAAAUGCUAUUGCCUCCUCUGGUCCAGAGUUUCUCAUCCUCCACACCAUUGACAUCUUGGGCUGGAUAAUUCUUUAUUGUAGGGGGCUGUCCUGUGCAUUGUAGGAGGCCUCCACCCACUAGAUGCCAGUUGCAACCUGCCCCCGACGUUGUGACAAUCAAAAAGUCUCUGGACAUUGCCAAAUGCCCUCUUGGGGAGAGGGCAGGGAGCACAUAUCCGCAUGACAACGUACAGAACCGACUUAUAAUAUUAUUAUUGUUUUAUUUUAUAUGCUGGGGCCAAUCCAGGAUAAACUCAUUAUAGCUGCCUUGUUCUCUGUCCACCAAGUACUGUCCAAAAACACAUAGUGGUGAUUGACAUCUC